rnacentral:rRNA from 1 species
AUGAUAUCAGGUGGAUGACUUGGCUCAAUAUGUUGAUGAAGGGCGUGGCUAACUACGAUAUGCUCUGGCAAGUGGUAUGCACACUUUGAACCAGAGAUUCCCGAAUCUGACAUCAGCUUGAAACCGUUAAGGUUGAGUAACUCAGGGAAUUGAAACAUCUUAGUACCUGAAGGAAAAGAAAUCAAUUGAGAUGCUGUGAGUAAGAGCGACUGAAAACAGCACAAUGCAAACUGAAUUCUUUAUGGAAACAUAAAGAAGAUGUGGUGUUAUAAGACUACUUUUUAUCCUAGCUAGGGAACUUGAAAUCUUCUGGAAAGAAGUACCUUAGAAGGUGAUAGUCCUGUAAAGAUAACUUAGUGGAUUUUAGUAGUAUCUUGAGUAGUGUUUUUUGGAUUUGAAGCACGAAUUUAGGAGGCAUUAAUUUCUAACAUUAAAUACAUUUUGAGUCCGAUAGCGUACUAGUACUGUGAAGGAAAGUUGAAAAGAACCUUUAAUAGGGAGUUCAAAGAUCCUGAAACCUGAUAGCUAUGGUGGGAUAGUGCUCUUUGGAGUUCUAUCGUGCGUUUCGAAUAACGUGCCAGGGAGUUUAUCUAAGUAGCGAGAAUAAUCUUUAAUAGAGUAUUCGUAGGGAAACCGAAUUUUCGCAGCUUGCAAUGAGAAAGGUAUUAACGUGCCUAAGUUAUUUGGAUAUGACCCGAAGCCGAGCGAUCUAACCCUGGGUAAGGUGAAGCAAGGAUUAAACCUUGUGGAGGCCUGAAGAGGUGCUGCGGACAUGCGUUCUUCUAACCUGGGGCUAGGGGUGAAAAGCCAAUCGAGCUCGGUGAUAGCUGGUUCCUAUCAAGUUUGACCGUAGUCAAGUCUCGAAUGAAGUAACUAUGAAUGUAGAGAUACGGAUUAAGAAUUUAGGCGUCGAAAGAUGUCGGUUUUUUGUCCAACUCCGAAUUUUAUAGUACUAAAGAUUUCGGGAAACGGUGGUCAGGGGUAAGCUCUGAUCACGCGAGGGGAACAACCCAAACUACAGUUAAGGUCCCAAAAUAUCAACUAAGUGUUAAAGGGUGAAGAAUGUUUAUGCCCUAAGACAGCGAGGAGGUUGGCUUAGAAGCAGCCAUCCUAUAAUAAGUGCGUAACAGCUUACUCGUCAAGGUUAUAGGCUUUGAAAAUGGACAGGGCUAAGUUGAUUACCGAUACUGUAGGGUUCUGAAAAGAAAUCAAUAGAUAGGUGUUUUGUUAGGGUAGAAGUAUUUCUGUGAAGAGAUAUGGACCUGAUAAAAAUAAAAAUCCUGGCGGUAGUAAGAUCUUAGCAGAGUGAGAAUCUCUGUCACCGGAAGGGCAAGGGUUCCUUGACAAUGUAGAUCAGUCAAGGGUUAGUCGAUCCUAACCAAUAAUCUAGCAGAUUUUUUGGGAAAGGGAAACAGGUUAAUAUUCCUGUACCACUAUAAUAUGUGCGGUGACGCAAGUUUAUUUUUUGACUCUUUUAGCUAAGCUAACACAAAUUAUCUUUUGUGUCAACCAAAAUAAAUCAAAGGAGUAUUAUAAUGAUGAGAAUUUGAUUAAAUUUGGGAUGAGUAGAUCUUAUGAUUUAUUUAGCUAAUGCUUAGAGACCUUGAAAAAGAAAAUAAAAAAAAUUUAUAGUGUUCGUACCCAGAACCAACACAGGUGCCCCUGGGUGAGAAGCCUAAGGUGUGAAGGUUUAAUCUAGUUGAGGGAAUUCGGCAAAUUAGCCCUGUAACUUCGGUUUAAGGGGUCCCUACGUUAGUUGUCAUAUGAUUGCUAUUGUAGGGUGCAAUUACAAGGGAGGUCCGACUGUUUAACAAAAACUUAACCAACUGCUAGCCUGUAAAGGUGCGUACAGUUGGUGACGUCUGCCCAGUGCCAGUACUUUAAAGCCUUUUUCAAGGGGCCUAAGAGCUGGUAAACGGCGGGGGUAACUAUAACUCUCUUAAGGUAGCGAAAUGCCUUGCCGUUUUAAUGACGGCCUGCAUGAAUGGCGUAACGAGAUCUCCACUGUCCCCAACUAGAAACCACUGAACUCUCUUUCCUAGUGCAAAGGCUAGGGAUCUCCAGUGGGAAGUGAAGACCCCGUGAAACUUUACUGUAGCUUAUGAUUGUAGCAUGAAUUUUGUUGUGCAGUGUAAGUGGGAGUUGUUAUGUUGCGGUCGCCAGAUCGUGAAUAGACGUCAAUGAAACACCACUCUUCAAAAUUCGUGUUGCUUACUUUUUUUCGGAAAAGGACAGUUAUAGGUAGACAGUUUAGCUGGGGUGGCAUCCUGUUGAAAAUGUAUCAACAGGGCCCAAUGGUUGACUCAAUCGGGUCAGAAAUCCGAUGUAGAGUGUAAGAGCAAAAGUCAGCCUGAUUGGAAUUUUAAUAAUAUGAAUUCCAAAAACGAAAGUUUGGUCUAGCGAACCUCAGUACUUCAUUAAUGGGAGUCUGAGAUGACUGAAAAGUUACUCCGGGGAUAACAGAGUUGUCGCGCCCGAGAGCUCCUAUUAGCUCUAGGCGACAAAUAAUUUUUUUCAGUUCGUUCGGUUUGAACUUCCUGCAUUAGUUUAAUGUUUUAGAGUUAAGAGUAAAUCGACGGCGCGGCUUGCUACAUCGAUGUCGGCUCUU